rnacentral:rRNA from 1 species
UGCCAGCCGCCGCGGUAAUACGGAGGGGGCUAGCGUUGUUCGGAAUUACUGGGCGUAAAGCGCACGUAGGCGGACUAUUAAGUCAGGGGUGAAAUCCCGGGGCUCAACCCCGGAACUGCCUCUGAUACUGGUAGUCUUGAGUUCGAGAGAGGUGAGUGGAAUUCCGAGUGUAGAGGUGAAAUGCGUAGAUACUGGGAGGAACACCGGUGGCGAAGGCGGUUACCUGGACGGGUACUGACGCUGAGGCGCGAAAGCGUGGGGAGCAAACAGGAUUAGAUA